AUGGCGGGGAGCAUCUGGUCCGCGCUGUUGCUCCUGCUUAACAUGGCGGGUGCGCUGCUCGCCCCCUCUGCCCGCGCUCCCCGGAGCCUGCCGGCCUCCGCCGAUGACGACGGGGACGUCGACUUCUUCUUCUUCCCCUUCCUGGUGCGCUACAAGAGCGGACGCGUCCAGCGCUUCGUGGGCACGGACACCGUGCCGGCCUCCGUGGACCCCGCCACCGGCGUGGCCUCCAAGGACGUGGCCAUCGACGCCGCCGCGGGGCUGGCCGUCCGCCUCUACCUGCCGAGCGUCGCCAACGGCACGGGGAGCGAGCGCGGCGACAGGCUGCCGCUGGUGGUGUUCUACCACGGCGGCGGGUUCGUCACGGAGUCUGCCUUCUCGCCGACGUACCAGCGGUACCUCAACGCGCUCGCGUCCAAGGCCGGGGCGCUCGUCGUGUCCGUGGACUACCACCUCUCGCCGGAGCACCCCCUCCCGGCGGCCUACGACGACGCGUGGGCGGUGCUGAGAUGGGUGCUCAGGAGCGCGCGGUCCGGGGCGGAGCCCUGGCUGUCACGCUGCGCCGACCUGACGCGGCUGCUCCUGGUCGGCGACAGCGCCGGGGGCAACAUCGCGCACAACAUGGCGAUGCGCGCCGGCAGGGAGGGCCUGGACGGCGGCGCGGCCAUCCAGGGCAUAGCGCUGCUGGACCCAUACUUCUGGGGGAAGCGCCCGGUGCCGUCGGAGACGCGGGACCCGGAGGAGCGGCGGUUGAACGACCGUAUAUGGAGCUUCGUCUGCGCGGGGAGGUACGGCGCCGACGACCCGGUGGUCAACCCGGUGGCCAUGGCGAGAGACGAGUGGCAGCGGCUGGGGUGCGCGCGCGUGCUGGUGACCGUGGCGGGGCUGGACGUGCUGAGCGCGAGGGGCCGCGCGUACGUGGAGGAGCUCAGGGCGAGCGGGUGGGGCGGCGAGGUGCGGCUGUACGAGACGCCCGGCGAGAACCACGUCUACUUUCUCUUGCAGCCGGACGGCGAGAAGGCGGCGAAGGAGAUGGAUGCGGUGGUGGCCUUCAUCAACGGCGACCGGUCGCCCGGGGGCUCGAAGCCAGAGGAUUCGGCCAAAUACACAAAUUUCUUGGGAACCUCUCUCGCAGAAGGACCGGAGAAGAACAACAUAAAAAGGAAAUCCAGUUGCAAGUAA
rnacentral:rRNA from 1 species